GAUGGGUAGCUUGCUCCCUGAUGUUAGCGGCGGACGGGUGAGUAACACGUGGGUAACCUGCCUGUAAGACUGGGAUAACUCCGGGAAACCGGGGCUAAUACCGGAUGGUUGUUUGAACCGCAUGGUUCAAACAUAAAAGGUGGCUUCGGCUACCACUUACAGAUGGACCCGCGGCGCAUUAGCUAGUUGGUGAGGUAACGGCUCACCAAGGCAACGAUGCGUAGCCGACCUGAGAGGGUGAUCGGCCACACUGGGACUGAGACACGGCCCAGACUCCUACGGGAGGCAGCAGUAGGGAAUCUUCCGCAAUGGACGAAAGUCUGACGGAGCAACGCCGCGUGAGUGAUGAAGGUUUUCGGAUCGUAAAGCUCUGUUGUUAGGGAAGAACAAGUACCGUUCGAAUAGGGCGGUACCUUGACGGUACCUAACCAGAAAGCCACGGCUAACUACGUGCCAGCAGCCGCGGUAAUACGUAGGUGGCAAGCGUUGUCCGGAAUUAUUGGGCGUAAAGGGCUCGCAGGCGGUUUCUUAAGUCUGAUGUGAAAGCCCCCGGCUCAACCGGGGAGGGUCAUUGGAAACUGGGGAACUUGAGUGCAGAAGAGGAGAGUGGAAUUCCACGUGUAGCGGUGAAAUGCGUAGAGAUGUGGAGGAACACCAGUGGCGAAGGCGACUCUCUGGUCUGUAACUGACGCUGAGGAGC
rnacentral:rRNA from 1 species